CGCGAAUGGCUCAUUACAACAGCCAUAGUUUAUUGGAUCUUCUCUCUACUUGGAUACCUGUGGUAAUUCUAGAGCUAAUACACGCACGAAAGCCCCGACUUCGGGAGGGGCGCAUUUAUUAGAACAAAACCAAUCGGGCUUGCCCGUCGUUUGGUGAAUCUGAAUAACUCAGUUGAUCGCACAGUCCUCGAACUGGCGACGUAUCUUUCAAGUGUCUGCCUUAUCAACUUUCGAUGGUAGUUUACAUGACUACCAUGGUUGUAACGGGUAACGGAGAAUAAGGGUUCGACUCCGGAGAGGGAGCCUGAGAAACGGCUACCACAUCCAAGGAAGGCAGCAGGC
rnacentral:rRNA from 1 species